rnacentral:rRNA from 1 species
UACAUGGGGUGCAAACGUUGCUCGGAAUUAUUGGGCGUAAAGCGCACGUAGGCGGUUCGUUAAGUCGGAUGUGAAAGCCCUCGGCUCAACUGAGGAAGUGCACCCGAAACUGGCGAGCUCGAGUACGAAAGAGGAUCGCGGAAUUCCCGGUGUAGAGGUGAAAUUCGUAGAUAGUCGUUUGGAACGCCAACGGUGAAAACAGACAGCUGGGAGUGUGCUGACGCUGAGACACGAAAGCCAGGGGAGCGAACGGG